rnacentral:rRNA from 1 species
AGGGCUUGACAUGGGGACGACCGGACUAGAGAUAGUCCUUUCCUUCGGGACGUCCCACACAGGUGGUGCAUGGUUGUCGUCAGCUCGUGUCGUGAGAUGUUGGGUUAAGUCCCGCAACGAGCGCAACCCUUAUUGUUAGUUGCUACGCAAGAGCACUCUAGCGAGACUGCCGUUGACAAAACGGAGGAAGGUGGGGACGACGUCAAAUCAUCAUGCCCCUUAUGUCCUGGGCUACACACGUAAUACAAUGGCACUUAACAAAGGGAAGCAAAACCGCGAGGUGGAGCAAAUCCCCAAAAAGUGUCCCAGUUCGGAUUGCAGUCUGCAACUCGACUGCAUGAAGUCGGAAUUGCUAGUAAUCGCGGAUCAGCAUGCCGCGGUGAAUACGUUCCCGGGCC